UCUUGUAGCAAUACGGGGAAAAGUCUAGCGGCGAACGGGUGCUUAACACGUGGGCAACCUGCCGAGAAGUGGGGGAUAGCUCGCCGAAAGGCGAAUUAAUACCGCAUGUGAUCAGAGUGGACAUCCACUCAAAAUUAAAGUCGGGGCAACCUGACGCUUCUUGAGGGGCCCGCGGCCUAUCAGCUAGUUGGUGAGGUAACGGCCCACCAAGGCAUUGACGGGUAGCUGGUCUGAGAGGACGACCAGCCACACUGGGACUGAGACACGGCCCAGACACCUACGGGUGGCAGCAGUCGAGAAUUUUUCUCAAUGGGGGAAACCCUGAAGGAGCGACGCCGCGUGGAGGAUGAAGGUCUUCGGAUUGUAAACUCCUGUCAUUGGGGAACAAUGCGGACGCAUUAACUGCGCGUUCGUUGAUAGUACCCGAAGAGGAAGAGACGGCUAACUCUGUGCCAGCAGCCGCGGUAAUACAGAGGUCUCAAGCGUUGUUCGGAUUCAUUGGGCGUAAAGGGUGCGUAGGCGGCGCGGUAAGUCGGGUGUGAAAUCUCGGAGCUUAACUCCGAAACUGCAUUCGAUACUGCCGUGCUUGAGGACUGGAGAGGAGACUGGAAUUCUCGGUGUAGCA
rnacentral:rRNA from 1 species